rfam:Triticum aestivum genome assembly, contig: Triticum_aestivum_CS42_TGACv1_scaffold_052177_1BS
AAUGUACUCCCUCCGUCCCAAAAUACUUGUCGGAGGAAUGGAUGUAUCUAGACGUAUUUUAGUCCUAGAUAGAUACAUCCAUUUUUAUGCAUUUCUCCGACGAGUAUUUCCGGACGGAGGGAGUAUUAG